rnacentral:rRNA from 1 species
CAAGCGACUGUUUACCAAAAACAUAGGUUUCUGCUAAGUCGCAAGACGAUGUAUAGGAGCUGACGCCUGCCCGGUGCUGGAAGGUUAAGGGGAUCUGUUAGAGCAAUCGAAGCAGUGAACUUAAGCCCCAGUAAACGGCGGCCGUAACUAUAACGGUCCUAAGGUAGCGAAAUUCCUUGUCGGGUAAGUUCCGACCCGCACGAAAGGCGUAACGAUUUGGGCACUGUCUCAACAACAGACUCGGUGAAAUUGUAAUUCCGGUGAAGAUGCCGGAUACCUGCGACAGGACGGAAAGACCCCAUGGAGCUUUACUGUAGCUUGACAUUGGGUCUUGGUACUACAUGUACAGGAUAGGUGGGAGGCUUUGAAACCAGGACGCCAGUUUUGGCGGAGCCAUCCUUGGGAUACCACCCUUGUAGUACUGGGACUCUAACCAUAGGCCAUGAAUCUGGUCUUGGGACACUGUCAGGUGGGCAGUUUGACUGGGGCGGUCGCCUCCCAAAAGGUAACGGAGGCGCUCAAAGGUUCUCUCAGUACGGUCGGAAAUCGUACGUAGAGUGUAAAGGCAAAAGAGAGCUUGAUUGCAAGACAUACAGGUCGAGCAAGGAUGAAAAUCGGACUUAGUGAUCCGGUGGUUCUGCGUGGAAGGGCCAUCGCUCAACGGAUAAAAGCUACCCUGGGGAUAACAGGCUUAUCUCCCCCAAGAGUCCACAUCGACGGGGAGGUUUGGCACCUCGAUGUCGGCUCAUCACAUCCUGGGGCUGUAGUAGGUCCCAAGGGUUGGGCUGUUCGCCCAUUAAAGUGGUACGCGAGCUGGGUUCAGAACGUCGUGAGACAGUUCGGUCCC